AUUUAUUUUGUAGAUUUGGAGGGAAUACGACACUGAUGGCAGUGGCUACAUUGAAGCUGACGAACUAAAAAAUUUCCUUCGAGAUCUUUUAAAAGAAGCUAAAAGAAAUGAUGUCUCAGAAGAUAAAUUGAUCGAAUAUACCGAUACAAUGUUACAAGUUUUCGACUUCAAUAAAGACGGCAGACUACAGUUAUCGGAGAUGGCAAAGU
rnacentral:lncRNA from 1 species